rnacentral:rRNA from 1 species
UGCUGGAGGUAUCAGAAGUGCGAAUGCUGACAUAAGUAACGAUAAAGCGGGUGAAAAGCCCGCUCGCCGGAAGACCAAGGGUUCCUGUCCAACGUUAAUCGGGGCAGGGUGAGUCGACCCCUAAGGCGAGGCCGAAAGGCGUAGUCGAUGGGAAACGGGUUAAUAUUCCCGUACUUGGUGUUACUGCGAAGGGGGGACGGAGAAGGCUAUGUUGGCCGGGCGACGGUUGUCCCGGUUUAAGCGUGUAGGUGUGUGUUCCAGGUAAAUCCGGUUCACUUUAACACUGAGGCGUGACGACGAGGCACUACGGUGCUGAAGCAACAAAUGCCCUGCUUCCAGGAAAAGCCUCUAAGCAUCAGGUAACAUCAAAUCGUACCCCAAACCGACACAGGUGGUCAGGUAGAGAAUACCAAGGCGCUUGAGAGAACUCGGGUGAAGGAACUAGGCAAAAUGGUGCCGUAACUUCGGGAGAAGGCACGCUGACAUGUAGGUGAAGUGAUUUACUCAUGGAGCUGAAGUCAGUCGAAGAUACCAGCUGGCUGCAACUGUUUAUUAAAAACACAGCACUGUGCAAACACGAAAGUGGACGUAUACGGUGUGACGCCUGCCCGGUGCCGGAAGGUUAAUUGAUGGGGUCAGCGCAAGCGAAGCUCCUGAUCGAAGCCCCGGUAAACGGCGGCCGUAACUAUAACGGUCCUAAGGUAGCGAAAUUCCUUGUCGGGUAAGUUCCGACCUGCACGAAUGGCGUAAUGAUGGCCAGGCUGUCUCCACCCGAGACUCAGUGAAAUUGAACUCGCUGUGAAGAUGCAGUGUACCCGCGGCAAGACGGAAAGACCCCGUGAACCUUUACUAUAGCUUGACACUGAACAUUGAGCCUUGAUGUGUAGGAUAGGUGGGAGGCUUUGAAGUGUGGACGCCAGUCUGCAUGGAGCCGACCUUGAAAUACCACCCUUUAAUGUUUGAUGUUCUAACGUGGACCCGUGAUCCGGGUUGCGGACAGUGUCUGGUGGGUAGUUUGACUGGGGCGGUCUCCUCCUAAAGAGUAACGGAGGAGCACGAAGGUUGGCUAAUCCUGGUCGGACAUCAGGAGGUUAGUGCAAUGGCAUAAGCCAGCUUGACUGCGAGCGUGACGGCGCGAGCAGGUGCGAAAGCAGGUCAUAGUGAUCCGGUGGUUCUGAAUGGAAGGGCCAUCGCUCAACGGAUAAAAGGUACUCCGGGGAUAACAGGCUGAUACCGCCCAAGAGUUCAUAUCGACGGCGGUGUUUGGCACCUCGAUGUCGGCUCAUCACAUCCUGGGGCUGAAGUAGGUCCCAAGGGUAUGGCUGUUCGCCAUUUAAAGUGGUACGCGAGCUGGGUUUAGAACGUCGUGAGACAGUUCGGUCCCUAUCUGCCGUGGGCGCUGGAGAACUGAGGGGGGCUGCUCCUAGUACGAGAGGACCGGAGUGGACGCAUCACUGGUGUUCGGGUUGUCAUGCCAAUGGCACUGCCCGGUAGCUAAAUGCGGAAGAGAUAAGUGCUGAAAGCAUCUAAGCACGAAACUUGCCCCGAGAUGAGUUCUCCCUGAGACUUAGAGUCUCCUGAAGGAACGUUGAAGACGACGACGUUGAUAGGCCGGGUGUGUAAGCGCAGCGAUGCGUUGAGCUAACCGGUACUAAUGAACCGUGAGGCUUAACCUU